rnacentral:lncRNA from 1 species
UCUUUGAUGGCCUAUAUUAUGUUUUAGGACAAUUUGAAGCUAAAAAAAGGACCUAAAACACAAAAAAAAAUGCAGCUGCUGUUUUGCCCAUAAUUUGAAGAAUUUUCGCCAUAAAAGUCGGAUUUCCAGAUUUUUAUGAUUACAUAUCCAGAUCAAUUUCGUUCCAAUUUCAUCGCAUUCCGAGACUUUUAGGAGCUAUUAUGGGUCCGUUGGCAUUCAAAGACACAAGUUGUGGGUAUUUCAGUUCAUUGCUUUGUCUAUCUCCUCUCACUUCAACAAAUUCUUGCCCCUCCGCUCACCUAGAAAACCCGGGAAGUCCUCC